AACCGCAAACAGUUCACACUGGAAUCUGAUAUAGGCCACAUUUUAAAAGGUAAUGUGAACAGCCAAACAAAAAAUCGGAUCUGAGCAAAAAAUUCGAAUUAAGCAUAAAGACUUGCUGUGUGAACGUAGCCUUAUGUCAUUGACAAUAUCA